GACGAACGCUGGCGGCGUGCUUAACACAUGCAAGUCGAACGAACAGACGCGGAGCUUGCUCCUUUGACGUUUGCGGCGGACGGGUGAGAAACACGUGGAUACCCCCCUUCUAUGACUGGGAUAACUUCGGGAAACCGGAGAUAAUACCGGAUAAUCUAUUGAACCGCAUGGUUCAUUAGAGAAAGACGGUUUUGCUGUCACUUAUAGAUGGAUACGCGCUGCAUUAGCUAGUUGGUAAGGUAACGGCCUACCAAGGGUGCGAUGCGUAGCCGACCGGAGAGGGGGGUCGGCCACACUGGAACUGGAACGGGGCCCAGACCCCUACGGGAGGCAGCAGUAGGGAAUCGUCCGCAAUGGGGGAAAGCCUUACGGAACAACGCGACGUGAGUGAUGAAGGUCUUGGGUUCGAAAAACCCGGUUAUUGGGUAAAAACAAAUUUUUAAGGAACUAUACACGGCUUGACGGUACCGGAUCAGAAAGCCACGGCUAACUACGUG
rnacentral:rRNA from 1 species